CUUCUCCCCGCACGCGGGGCGAAGGAGACUCGCGGCGCUCGCUCGAUUCGUGCCGCUUGUCCCUUCUCCCCGCUUGCGGGGAGAAGCGCG
rnacentral:sRNA from 1 species